CCUAAACUCAUAGUUUUAAUUUCCAACUCACUUUUAUUCGUCUAUUAGAUGAUAUAUAAGCGUACGAAGAAAUUUGGACUGCCAGUAUUUACAUUAGUCUAAUUAAUUUCAAUGUGCUAUAUAUAACUAUUAAAUUGAGUAAAAUGAGCAACAGAUUGUAUAGUACUGUAUUAGUUGAUCUUAUACUUGUAUGAGGUUAUUGUAUCAUUAUUGAUUCCUAUAUACUUGGUUCAUUUGCAUCUCUGUUUCAGAUUGUAUAGCUCUGACAAAUUUCAUAAACAAAUAAUAUUUCGGAAACUUCAAUAAUCUAUUUUUUUUUUUGGAAUAGUUUCAGAAACUUUUUCUUACCACGGAAAAGUGAAUUUCUUGGAAUUACAUCCCAUAUUUCCAUCUGAGUCAGAUAUUGGUUCUGCCACUGAGGAUGCAGUGUCUAAAAUUUUCCUUGCUAUUUCGUAAAUCCUGUUAUGGAGCCUUCCACAUUACAGAAUGUUGGGCCAGGGGCUUCGAUCUUCAAGUCCAGGGCAGUGGUCAGGCUCCGAACACAGUCAAAUGUCUGUUGGUGAAUGAUGUAUGGAGGGAGGUUUGGUGAACCCAAGACCUCAGCAGAUAUGCACCUUAAAGUACGUUAUGGGGGAAAGCUCUCUGAGAAGGGCUCCUCUGCAGAUGAACCAGAGUCUGCUAGUGUCAGCAGGGGUGCUGGUGUAUUUCGUUUACGCAUGUCAGCUUAACGUGGGAAGCCUUUUGGAUGGCAGUGGUUAUGGAUCUUAGAUGGAUUGCCUCUCCCCGAUUAAUACAACAUGGGACAAAAGAAACAGAUGAACAGAAUUACCUUCCAUGGAGAAUAGUAAAUGGUGUUGCAGACGGUGAGAUGCCAAAAAGCAGAAUGUUGCUUCUGGCUCCGUACUUCCGUAGUGAUUGAUAGUGUCUGGCAAUAAAGUCGGCACUGUCACGACUCAACCUGGGUGUUUUGCAUUUGCAUGAAGCUUUUAAAGAUAGGUACAUAAGAGGCCAGAAUGAUUUAAAGGUUGAGGCGAUAGAACCAGAUUGGUGGCUGCCUGAAUGGAUUUCCCGUUGCAGCUGCUUCAGGUUCUAGAAUUGCCCUUUCAGGUUUUGUCGACGAAUUCUUGAUAUCUGCAGCCAGUUGCAUCAAAGUGUUGACUUGUAGUUUCCCUUAUAUAACUUGGACGACAGUAUCUCCAAAUGGAUCUACAAUUCUUAUUGAAGUGACCAGUUGUGAUAUAUUCAUGAGCUAAGUAUCCCGUUGCAGCACUUGUUUCCAGAGUGCAGAAGACAUUGUCUUCAGCAAGCAGCUUAGGAAGACCUGAGUCCGAAGUCAGUGGCUAUAAAUUGCUGACCAAUAUCGAUGAGAACCUUUUGGUACAAAUAUGUUUUGGUGAAUCAUGGCAGGUUUGUGUUCAUCAUUUCUGUGCAAGUAUCCAAUACCUGGUUGCAAAAGAUAGCUGGGUUCUUUCUUUUGUUCUUCUAACGUUCUUUAUAGAGAUCAUUUUUUUUUGGGUCUGGUUCUCUAUAGAGAUCAUGGAAUGAUAAUAACAUGGAUCUCUAGCUGACUUCGCAAAUUCAUCUUUUUAUGUUAUUCUUCCUUAUUCCCCC